rnacentral:rRNA from 1 species
AGAAUCAACGCUGGCGGCGUGCCUAACGACAUGCAAGUCGAACGAGAAAGUGGAGCAAUCCAUGAGUAAAGUGGCGCACGGGUGAGUAACACGUGACUAACCUACCUUUUAGUGGGGGAUAACCUAGGGAAACCUGGGCUAAUACCGCAUAAUACCUACGGGUCAAAGCAGCAAUGCGCUGAAAGAGGGGGUCGCGGUCGAUUAGUUAGUUGGCAGGGUAAUGGCCUACCAAGACUGUGAUCGAUAUCCGGCCUGAGAGGGCGCACGGACACACUGGAACUGAAACACGGUCCAGACUCCUACGGGAGGCAGCAGUGGGGAAUUUUGCGCAAUGGGGGAAACCCUGACGCAGCAACGCCGCGUGGAGGAUGAAGUCCCUUGGGACGUAAACUCCUUUCGAUCGGGACGAUAAUGACGGUACCGGAAGAAGAAGCCCCGGCUAACUUCGUGCCAGCAGCCGC